rnacentral:ncRNA from 2 species
AUAAUCGUAAAGCAAUAAGGUCUCAAUUUAAAGAUUGAGUGAAAAGGGAAGUCUGGUGAAAAACCAGCGCGGUCCCGCCACUGUAAGCGCUUUGUGCGUAAGUCAGAGACCUGCCUUAUUGUUAGCUGUGAA